UAGGGGGUGGCAGGCUGGCC
rnacentral:miRNA from 1 species